rnacentral:rRNA from 1 species
GUGGGGAAUCUUGCGCAAUGGGCGAAAGCCUGACGCAGCCAUGCCGCGUGAAUGAUGAAGGUCUUAGGAUUGUAAAAUUCUUUCACCGGGGACGAUAAUGACGGUACCCGGAGAAGAAGCUCCGGCUAACUUCGUGCCAGCAGCCGCGGUAAUACGAAGGGGGCUAGCGUUGCUCGGAAUUACUGGGCGUAAAGGGCGCGUAGGCGGACAGCUUAGUCAGAGGUGAAAGCCCAGGGCUAAACCUUGGAAUUGCCUUUGAUACUGGCUGUCUUGAGUUUGGGAGAGGUGAGUGGAACUCCGAGUGUAGAGGUGAAAUUCGUAGAUAUUCGGAAGAACACCAGUGGCGAAGGCGACUCACUGGCCCAAUACUGACGCUGAGGCGCGAAAGCGUGGGGAGCAAACAGGAUUAGAUACCCGAGUAGUCC